rnacentral:rRNA from 1 species
UACGAAGGGGGCUAGCGUUGUUCGGAAUCACUGGGCGUAAAGGGCGCGUAGGCGGCGCGACAAGUCAGGCGUGAAAGCCCCGGGCUCAACCCGGGAAUUGCGCUUGAUACUGUCGGGCUUGAGUCCGGGAGAGGAUGGCGGAAUUCCCAGUGUAGAGGUGAAAUUCGUAGAUAUUGGGAAGAACACCCGUGGCUAAGGCGGCUCUCUAGUACGGUACUGACGCUGAGACGCGAAAGCGUGGGGAGCGAACAGG